rnacentral:sRNA from 12 species
AGCCUAACCCUAUAGAGAAAUCUGCAGGCAUGGUGAAAAGUCCAAUCAGACAUAAAGAACCCAUCAUAGGGUCGUCUGAUUGGCUAUAUCGGGAAACCGGUAUAAGAGACUUCGGUCUCU